ACAUGUUUGAAGGUCUCUGCAUGUAGAAUACCUGAUUUACGUUUUACAAAUAGAGGUAGGAAAAGUACAAAACAUUUAAUUUGAUUUCCAACUGUUACCAGUUAUGAACUCUCCCUUCCUAUUUACUAUAAAGAAUGGAUAAAGGUCUAAAUUUUCACUUUCUUCAUGACUAUAGGUUGUUUUGAUGUUUGUUUCCUUUUUUUUUUGGUCCCAAAUCCAGGACGCUACAAAGUGACUCAGUUUCCCAAAUCCCGUGCACCCAACCUUGGAGAAGAGCCUUUCAGAGGAUACUGAAGUCUUCAAGAAUCAUUACAUUGCUUUUGAAUUUAAGCAAAAGGAUUUUAGGGACUAUCCAAUGUCCUUACACUGUGAACAAUGCAAACACCUGAAUGUGCUCAAACAACCCUUGCAAACCUGCGUUUCCAGUCUUUGUGGCUUCAGCCCUUCUGCAGCCUUUGGCUUCUGUUGGUCAAUCCACAUGCAGAAACACAUGAUCAAAGUCAAGAGCUGCACUGCAAGUUACUUUCAAGAAGAACUUAGUCUUCAAGGUGUCCUGAUAAUUACAAUUGCCUAGGAAGACAAAUAAAAGAUACUGCCCCCAACUGAAGUGCACGCCUGAGCUAGAUCUAAAAUUUCCCAGUGCUUUUCAAAGAAGUGUUUUUAAAACCUUGGGUUGUAUAAUAAAUCAAGAUAUCACUUUAUAUAUAUACGUACUAGGCUAAAUGAUUCUUUAAAUGUUAGCCCUUCUAAUAUGAUGGUAUUAAUACUUUAAUACCAAAAGCUAAGCCAUGACUUUAACACACCUCAUCAGAAGUGCAUUAAACUUUACUUGCCUUUUUUCCAGAAGUGUUGAGGCUUUCCUCUCCAAUCUUUUCCGGAAUGUUCUGAAUUUUACCUCACCUGGUACAUAUUUCAGAAACAUACUCUCUUGUUGAGAUGUCUUUCUAAGGAGGAAUCCCUGGGUAAAGCCUUAAGUUUUCCUAACGGUUAGUAAAUGUAAGCAAAUAUAAAGCAGAGACUUUAAUGUGACCACAGGAGGGUAUGGAGAUGUAGGGUGGGGAGAAGACAAACCUACUUUGUUAGCACUUCUAGGUAGUUCUCUCUGUACUAUGAAAAACAGUCAGCUAAAAUCACUAGCUACUUGCAGAGUAUAGAUGGUAUCAAUAGAAACUACAUAAUUUGCUGUUCUGAGAGUUGUGUCCUUUUGUGGAAACAAAACUAGACAGACAGAGGUGGCAAUUUCUAAGUAGCGGGAAGUUGUUUAAUGCUCUUUAUCAUGCUUUGAUACAGACGGGUUUUAGCCACAAAUUCUCACAUCAGAGCUGGGCUCUGGCGUGAGGCUCUGAGCAACACGUUCCCGCUGUGCAGCUGACAACCCCAAGUCCAUUCGAGAUCUCCGUCUGGAGAAACCAGCUGCUCUCCCUCCCUCCGGUUUUCAGAGGGUUUCAGUCCAAAUGUUUGGUCCAGGUCUGUCCUCCUCACCAGGAGGAUAAGCCAAAUAAGCCUAAACAGAGUAAGUACUUGCAAGUGGCCUAAAAAAAAAGAAACCUGCAGCUAUCGAGAGCUGUACAAACAUAUACGACUCAGAAUCUGCUCUUCUGGAGGACUUCCUACCUGAUAACUUCUGUGUACUUUAUUAACAUUCAAGUUUCAAAACACGUAUGAGGCAUUAUCUUCAUUUUGCAGAUAGGAAACAGAGAUAUUUAUUGAGAUAAGGCACAGAAAGGUGAAGCGACUUGCCUGAGGUCACAUCAAGGUUUCUGGCAGAGGCAUGAUCUUUCCAGAUCUUCUGAACUCUAGGCCUCUGCUUUAAAUUACAAGACUUCAUCAGGUUUAUAGCAUCUCGCCCUCCCCUCCUGCCGCCUGUUUGUAGUGCCGAAUUUGCUCCGAGCAAAACGCACUCAUUGAUGAACUCUCUCACUCGUUCCCCAACAUUACUUGCGGACUGCAACUUCAGAUGAAAGUCUCCACACUGCAGUCAUAUUUUACCUACCCGGUUAUUCUAAUUGAGUAUCGAGCAAAGUGGCUAAUUAGGAGUCUUCAAGGGACUGUUUGUUUAAUUUUGUUUUGGAAUGUGUGCUUGCAUAAAUGCCAUACAAGAAGAAGUCUGGAGGCCGCAAUCAUCUGCAAUGUAAAAAUAUUUCAGUUUCUGUGAAGUUUUCCCUCCCCUGAGGGUUCUAAUUCAUCUCCACGAGUUGAUAAAUCAAGUUGGAAGCACCCUCCCCCCGCUCUGGUGCCUAGCAGAAAUAUGACCCUCUUCUUGUCCAGGCAUGCAGACAAGUGAUGAAUCAGACUUUCCCCAAGAAAAUGCUGCAGCCCUUUUCUUAAGGCACAUUGCUGCCUGAAUAACUCAGCUUUUCCUACAGCCUCUGACUGCAUGCCUGUAUUUACUUCUAGAGAACGCAAGAGCUAUGGUCUGGAUCUGACCCGAAGACGGCUAUCCGAGUGCUAGCCAGCCAGCACCUACAAAAAACGAGGACUGGAGGAGGGCACAGCCCCUGCAGGGCUGUUUCCCAUGAGGUUUCCCUUUGUUUCCAUGCAGCAGUCCCAGCCGGUUCUCAUCCCGGCACCCCGGGCACUCCGAAGUAGCUGUGAAGGCAGCCAGGCAUGACCUGCUAUCGCCUGCACCACCUGCCAGCAUCCCUACCUGCUCGAGGCGUUGGAAGACCUUUUCACUACAAGCAUUAGCAUUCAUUACGAUCUAAAUCACAAGUUUUUCAAAACGGUUUCAACUCAUUCGAUCCCUGGGGCGAGUGGAUUUCCCCCCAAAACUUUUUCUUCCUCUUCAAAGUGGACCAGGGCCAAUUCCGUUUUUUUGCCUCGUGAAGUAAAGACAGAAGUUGGCCCAAAGAACAAAUUUAGGCUGUUUAGAAACGUGAAAGAGAUUUUGCUGUAACUUUAAAGACAGAACUGCUCCUGUGAGGAUCCAGCCUCUCUGUCCCUUUGGCUGUGCUCCUGCUCAGCAUCCCGCCCGACGCUGCAGUUACUGAAACCUGUGCUCGCCUUGUUAGGCAUCGGCAUGACGGGGCCAAGCAAUCCCGGUCUCACUGCUCAGAGAGUAACUCAUGUGACCCCUACUAAUCGUGUUCAGAAAUUAUGAAUGUUCCCAUUUUCCAGAAGGAAAGACUUACGUAGCACAUUGCCGUGUUUGCUACAAGUCAGCAACCGACCAGAUGCUCGGUGCCGGAUGGCGUGAGAUCUGCGGGUGCAGCAGCCGCCAUCCCUUACCUGUCUGAGCAGCACUCCACGUGGCCGGGAUCGGAUUUCUGUUCCUCGAAAGGCUUCAAAGCUCUAUCAGAUGGCAGCGUUUUAUCAGUUCAGCUUUCUUGCUUUUGGGGAACAGAAUGAGUAGCAGCGGUGACAGAAGAGUCAUCUACGUGUAGACCUCAGCACAACUCACUAAUGCCUUUUAAA